rnacentral:rRNA from 1 species
AUUGAACGCUGGCGGCAUGCCUUACACAUGCAAGUCGAACGGCAGCACGGGAGCUUGCUCCUGGUGGCGAGUGGCGAACGGGUGAGUAAUGCAUCGGAACGUGCCCUGAAGUGGGGGAUAACGUAGCGAAAGUUACGCUAAUACCGCAUAUUCUGUGAGCAGGAAAGCAGGGGAUCUUCGGACCUUGCGCUUUUGGAGCGGUCGAUGUCGGAUUAGCUAGUUGGUGGGGUAAAGGCCCACCAAGGCGACGAUCCGUAGCGGGUCUGAGAGGAUGAUCCGCCACACUGGAACUGAGACACGGUCCAGACUCCUACGGGAGGCAGCAGUGGGGAAUUUUGGACAAUGGGCGCAAGCCUGAUCCAGCCAUGCCGCGUGAGUGAAGAAGGCCUGG